rnacentral:rRNA from 1 species
AGAGUUUGAUCCUGGCUCAGGACGAACGCUGGCGGCGUGCUUAACACAUGCAAGUCGAACGGAAAGGCCUGCAGCUUGCUGCGGGUACUCGAGUGGCGAACGGGUGAGUAACACGUGGGUGAUCUGCCUUGCACUUCGGGAUAAGCUUGGGAAACUGGGUCUAAUACCGGAUAGGACAGCUGUUUAGUGUCAGUUGUGGAAAGUUUUUUCGGUGCAAGAUGAGCUCGCGGCCUAUCAGCUUGUUGGUGGGGUAAUGGCCUACCAAGGCGUCGACGGGUAGCCGGCCUGAGAGGGUGUACGGCCACAUUGGGACUGAGAUACGGCCCAGACUCCUACGGGAGGCAGCAGUGGGGAAUAUUGCACAAUGGGCGGAAGCCUGAUGCAGCGACGCCGCGUGGGGGAUGAAGGCCUUCGGGUUGUAAACUCCUUUCGACAGGGACGAAGCGUAAGUGACGGUACCUGUAUAAGAAGCACCGGCUAACUACGUGCCAGCAGCCGCGGUAAUACGUAGGGUGCGAGCGUUGUCCGGAAUUACUGGGCGUAAAGAGCUCGUAGGUGGUUUGUCGCGUCGUCUGUGAAAUUCCGGGGCUUAACUCCGGGCGUGCAGGCGAUACGGGCUGACUUGAGUGCUGUAGGGGAGACUGGAAUUCCUGGUGUAGCGGUGAAAUGCGCAGAUAUCAGGAGGAACACCGAUGGCGAAGGCAGGUCUCUGGGCAGUAACUGACGCUGAGGAGCGAAAGCAUGGGUAGCGAACAGGAUUAGAUACCCUGGUAGUCCAUGCCGUAAACGGUGGGCGCUAGGUGUAGGGGGCUUCCACGUCUUCUGUGCCGUAGCUAACGCAUUAAGCGCCCGCCUGGGGAGUACGGCCGCAAGGCUAAAACUCAAAGGAAUUGACGGGGGCCCGCACAAGCGGCGGAGCAUGUGGAUUAAUUCGAU